rnacentral:rRNA from 1 species
AGAGUUUGAUCCUGGCUCAGAACGAACGCUGGCGGCAGGCCUAACACAUGCAAGUCGAACGCCCCGCAAGGGGAGUGGCAGACGGGUGAGUAACACGUGGGAACAUGCCCUUUGGUUCGGAAUAACUCAGGGAAACUUGAGCUAAUACCGGAUAAGCCCGAGAGGGGAAAGAUUUAUCGCCAAAGGAUUGGCCCGCGUCCGAUUAGCUAGUUGGUGAGGUAACGGCCCACCAAGGCGACGAUCGGUAGCUGGUCUGAGAGGAUGAUCAGCCACAUUGGGACUGAGACACGGCCCAAACUCCUACGGGAGGCAGCAGUGGGGAAUAUUGGACAAUGGGCGAAAGCCUGAUCCAGCCAUGCCGCGUGAGUGAUGAAGGCCCUAGGGUUGUAAAGCUCUUUCGUCAGGGACGAUAAUGACGGUACCUGAAGAAGAAGCCCCGGCUAACUUCGUGCCAGCAGCCGCGGUAAUACGAAGGGGGCUAGCGUUGUUCGGAAUCACUGGGCGUAAAGCGCACGUAGGCGGAUCUUUAAGUCAGGGGUGAAAUCCCGAGGCUCAACCUCGGAACUGCCUUUGAUACUGGGGAUCUCGAGUCCGGGAGAGGUGAGUGGAAUUGCGAGUGUAGAGGUGAAAUUCGUAGAUAUUCGCAAGAACACCAGUGGCGAAGGCGGCUCACUGGCCCGGUACUGACGCUGAGGUGCGAAAGCGUGGGGAGCAAACAGGAUUAGAUACCCUGGUAGUCCACGCCGUAAACGAUGGAUGCUAGCCGUUAGACAGCCUGCUGUUUAGUGGCGCAGUUAACGCUUUAAGCAUCCCGC